rnacentral:rRNA from 1 species
AUUGAACGCUGGCGGCAGGCCUAACACAUGCAAGUCGAACGAGUGGCGGACGGGUGAGUAAUGUCUGGGAAACUGCCCGAUGGAGGGGGAUAACUACUGGAAACGGUAGCUAAUACCGCAUACCAUCGGAUGUGCCCAUAUGGGAUUAGCUAGUAGGUGGGGUAACGGCUCACCCAGGCGACGAUCCCUAGCUGGUGUGAGAGGAUGACCAGCCACACUGGAACUGAGACACGGUCCAGACUCCUACGGGAGGCAGCAGUGGGGAAUAUUGCACAAUGGGCGCAAGCCUGAUGCAGCCAUGCCGCGUGUAUGAAGAAGGCCUUCGGGUUGUAAAGUACUUUCAGCGGGGAGGCGUUACUCGCAGAAGAAGCACCGGCUAACUACGUGCCAGCCGCCGCGGUAAUAC